rnacentral:rRNA from 1 species
AGAGUUUGAUCCUGGCUCAGGAUGAACGCUAGCGGCAGGCCUAACACAUGCAAGUCGAGGGGUAAUCCCGCUUUCGGGCGGGAACGACCGGCGCACGGGUGAGUAACGCGUAUGCAACCUACCUUUAACAGGGGGAUAGCCCGAAGAAAUUCGGAUUAAUACCCCAUAAUACUAUGAAUAAGCAUUUAUUUAUAUUAAAAACUCCGGUGGUUAAAGAUGGGCAUGCGUAACAUUAGAUAGUUGGUGAGGUAACGGCUCACCAAGUCUACGAUGUUUAGGGGGCCUGAGAGGGUGGUCCCCCACACUGGUACUGAGACACGGACCAGUCUCCUACGGGAGGCAGCAGUGAGGAAUAUUGCGCAAUGGAGGAAACUCUGACGCAGCCAUGCCGCGUGCAGGAUGACGGCCCUACGGGUUGUAAACUGCUUUUAUACAGGAAGAAUUUUCCGCACGUGUGCGGGAUUGACGGUACUGUACGAAUAAGCACCGGCUAACUCCGUGCCAGCAGCCGCGGUAAUACGGAGGGUGCAAGCGUUAUCCGGAUUUAUUGGGUUUAAAGGGUGCGUAGGCGGGAUAAUAAGUCAGUGGUGAAAUACUGCAGCUCAACUGUAGAACUGCCAUUGAUACUGUUAUUCUUGAGUUCGAUUGAGGUAGGCGGAAUGUGUAAUGUAGCGGUGAAAUGCUUAGAUAUUACACAGAACACCGAUUGCGUAGGCAGCUUACUAAGUCGACACUGACGCUGAGGCACGAAAGCGUGGGGAGCGAACAGGAUUAGAUACCCUGGUAGUCCACGCUGUAAACUAUGAUCACUAGCUGUUGGCGAUACAUCGAUCAGCGGCAAAGCGAAAGCAUUAAGUGAUCCACCUGGGGAGUACGGUCGCAAGAUUGAAACUCAAAGGAAUUGACGGGGGCCCGCACAAGCGGUGGAACAUGUGGUUUAAUUCGAUGAUACGCGAGGAACCUUACCUGGGCUUAAAUGCAGAUUGACGUUUCGGGAAACCGGAAUUCUCUUCGGAGCGAUUUGCAAGGUGCUGCAUGGUUGUCGUCAGCUCGUGCCGUGAGGUGUCGGGUUAAGUCCCAUAACGAGCGCAACCCCUAUCGUUAGUUGCCAGCGGAUAAUGCCGGGGACUCUAACGAAACUGCCGGUGUAAACCGAGAGGAAGGUGGGGAUGACGUCAAAUCAGCACGGCCCUUAUGUCCAGGGCUACACACGUGUUACAAUGGUCGGUACAGAGGGCAGCUACCUGGUGACAGGAUGCUAAUCUCGAAAGCCGGUCUUAGUUCGGAUCGAAGUCUGCAACUCGACUUCGUGAAGCUGGAAUCGCUAGUAAUCGCGUAUCAGCAACGACGCGGUGAAUACGUUCCCGGGCCUUGUACACACCGCCCGUCAAGCCAUGGAAGCUGGGGGUACCUGAAGUCUGUAACCGCAAGGAGCGGCCUAGGGUAAAACUAGUGACUGGGGCUAAGUCGGAACAAGGUA